ACCUGUGUGGCCACACGCAGUGACCCUGAGCAAAGGAGUGACCACAGAAGUGCAUGGCAAAGCAGAAAGGUGUGACGUCUUGGAGGACGCGGGAGGAAAGCACGCCCAGCGGACAGGAGCCAUCACGCGGCUGCGGGCUGCUGCUGAGAACCUGGCGUGGGCCACCGUCGUCAGCAGCGUGGAGGUAACUGACGACCUUGGCCAAGAAGUUGGGUGGCAGCGUGGAGGUCAUGCUCAGAGACACUUGUUAUUGCAGUCAGAGUCCAUCUGGAUAAUCCUGGAUAAAUCUCAUCUGGAGAUCCUUCACCAGAUCACAUCGGCAAUGACCUGUUCCCCAAAUAAGGCCCUGUGCACAGGUUCUGGGGGACAUAUCUUGUAAUUGAAGACGUCUCACCAUAGCGGCCAGCCGUGCAACCACUGGGCCUGUCUGUGCCUGAACAACACACUGGCCUGCCUUUGCCUGAACAAGACAGCCUUAGUCUCAAAGCUUGCAGAUGGGUGUGGCCUGGUAGAAAAUUCUCAAGACAACGGCGGAGCACGCUUGCCCCUAGGAGACCAAGUGGCCGGAAUGUUGAGAAUCAGCCUUUCGCAGAAAUCCCCUAAGCGGGAGGCAGCAGGCUGACUCCAUCAGCCCCAGGCAGGCUUCUGGGCCCUGCAGCUAUGGC
rnacentral:lncRNA from 1 species